UACGUAGGGUGCGAGCGUUAAUCGGAAUUACUGGGCGUAAAGCGUGCGCAGGCGGUUUUUGUAAGACAGGCGUGAAAUCCCCGGGCUCAACCUGGGAAUGGCGCUUGUGACUGCAAAGCUGGAGUGCGGCAGAGGGGGAUGGAAUUUCCGCGUGUAGCAGUGAAAUGCGUAGAUAUGCGGAGGAACACCGAUGGCGAAGGCAAUCCCCUGGGCCUGCACUGACGCUCAUGCACGAAAGCGUGGGGAGCAAACAGG
rnacentral:rRNA from 1 species